rnacentral:misc_RNA from 1 species
UUUCCGUUGGUGAACCAGCGGAGGGAUCAUUACAGAGUUUUCACAACUCCCAACCCUUGCGAACCUUACCCAUUCUGUUCUCGUUGCUUCCGGCGGGGGGGACGGGGGGGCCCGAAACGGCCUCCCCGCCCCGCCCGCCGGGGGCGGCGGGCCCUACGAACCUUUAUAUCUCAUCUACCAGAAACCUUCUGAGAAAACAAACAAAAUAAUCAAAACUUUCAACAACGGAUCUCUUGGUUCUG